rnacentral:rRNA from 1 species
UGUAAGCGUAUACCAAAGUUGUUGCAGUUAAAACGCUCGUAGUCGGAACUUGGCAGUUCCGGAAGUGUGCACGUCGUGUGCGCACUUUGCAGGGACUGCUUUUGUGGUCUUGCGUAGGAUGAGGCACUUUUAUUAGUGAACGUCCUCACGCAACCACUCUUUACUGUGAGAAAAUCAGAGUGCUCAAAGCAGGCAUUUGCCGUGAAUGUAUUAGCAUGGAAUAAUAGAAUAGGACUCGGUUCUAUUUUGUUGGUUUGUUGGGACUGAGUAAUGAUUAAGAGGGACAGUUGGGGGCAUUUGUAUUUCGGUGCUAGAGGUGAAAUUCUUAGAUUACCGAAAGACAAACUGCUGCGAAAGCGUCUGCCAAGGAUGUUUUCAUUGA